AGACUUUUUUGUUACAUUAAUCAUCUAUUUUUUCUAAAAAAAAUAUUUCUGCAGUGAUAUUUUCACAGGGGGGGCGGGGGAGAGGCUCACAGGGUCUGCGCAUCUCAAAACACGAGAUAUAAACCACACGGAGGUCAUUGAGGAGACUUGGACAUCUCUGCUUAGGCCACGGUAAAACAAUAUUGGUAGGGUCAGGUUAUAGGACAUGUUGCCUAC